rnacentral:rRNA from 1 species
CGUUAGUUGGAACCCACACCUAGUGCCCACCGUUUACGGCAUGGACUACCAGGGUAUCUAAUCCUGUUUGCUACCCAUGCUUUCGCUCCUCAGCGUCAGUUUCAGUCCAGAGCGGCGCCUUCGCCACCGGUGUUCCUCCUAAUAUCUGCGCAUUUCACCGCUACACUAGGAAUUCCCCGCUCCCCUCCUGAACUCAAGUCACAGCAGUAUCGGAUGGCCUCUCCGGGUUGAGCCCAAAGUUUUAACACCCGACUUACUAAACCGCCUACGAGCUCUUUACGCCCAAUAAAUCCGGACAACGCUUGGAGCCUACGUGUCACCGCGGCUGCUGGCACGUAGUUGGCCGCUCCUUCUUCUGCAGGUACCGUCAUUUUCGUUCCUGCUGAAAGCGGUUUACAGCCCGAAGGCCUUCAUCCCGCA